CCCAUGAGCAGGCCCUGCCUUGCAGUCCCGGUCACCCUCAAGUACCCGAUUAGGUUCAGCCAGCUGGUGUUUGCUGCUGCCUUGUCUGGGAAAUGGGGCCCUUAGGGACAGGAACACUUUCCUGCCUUCCUCUCUGAGGAUGCCCUUUGUAUCUCCUUGUAAAUCUGAUACUACAGGGGUGCCCAUGCUGGGGAAAAACUGGAUCCUCUGCCACAGAUGCUGCCCCAGGACGCCACUCCAUGUCCAGCUGGGACUCAGCCUCUGCAACAGAGGGGAGGGAGAGAGGGGGUAUGGUGAGUGGCCUUGUGAAGGGCUGGUCCUGGUCCACACAGAGUGCGAGCCUGAGCAGGACAGAGAUGACAGCAAGAGAGCUGCGUGAUCACUAAACUCAUGGGCACCCAAGAACCAGGCCCCGACCGCAGAGCUUUGCCAGACCCACCAUGAUACAGAAAGGUAGUGGAGAAGGAUGGAGCUCUAAUGGCUGGGGGACAGAAUCUGGGGUGCCCCUCAGCCCAGGGAGGGGCAGGGAGUUCCCAAAGAUGAGCCAAGAAGAGAAGAGGUAGUGUCCUGUUCCCCAAGCCCUGCAGAAGGAGCUACUAGAGAGUGGAUGUGAGUCUCCAGACCCCCGAGUCCCAGGAGUGCCCCCAAAAGACGGGGUGGACUGUCUUGAGAUCUUCUCCCCCACCCCAUGUCCGCCUUGGCUCUGAUACCUGAAUGAAGCCACUUGGCCAUUCAGUGUCUGGAACCUUCGGGCAGAGCAGGUGUGACCCCACUCAGCUGAGCACAGCCCAGACAGGGACAGGGGGACCUUCCUUCCCAUCACUGUGUUUCCAUCCCUGACCACUUCCUGCCCUCUCUGCUGGACUGCAGGCCCCUCCAUGGGGCAAGUUGCGGCAGAUUCUGACAUGCACAGGCCCAGGGGAUGUGGUGUGUUCCCUACCAGCUGUGUGUCUCCCGUGGUCAAAACAAGAAGAGCUGCCCAGUUCUCAGCACCCUGAGAGGCUGAGGCAGGAGGAUAGCAAGGUUGAGCUCAGCAUGGGAAACACAGAAACUUAGAGAGACCCUGUCUCAAAAUAUCAAACACAAAAAGGGCUAGGGAAUUCAUGGAAGGCUGUGGAUUCAAUCCUCAGUCCCAGAGAAAGAAAGGGAAAGAAAAGGAGAGGAGAGGGGAGAGAAAGGAAAGAAAAAAAACUGUAGCUUGGGGGGAAAAGAAAGGAAGUACAGCUUGGGUCGGUGUGGGCUCCUCUCCCGGGGUGUGAUCUCAUGGAGGAGCCUCCCUGCCUUAAAGGGGCUUGGGUUGGCCUCUGGGAUCCAGCUGAGGGACGCGGGUCCACUCCGCCCUGUGCACGCUCCGCCUGGGCCUCCCUAUCCUCUGCCCCUUGCGCUCCUCGCACCCUGUCCGUGCUCCUCCUAACACCUGUUGCUCUCUGAGGGCUCGAGCUGCAGGGACUGGGCCUUGGGUGGGGCGUGUCCCAUGUGUCCAGAUGUCAGUGUCCUCACCUAGAGUACGCUAAGCUUUGCCUCCUGGGGCCUUGCAGGAGAACUAGGGGUGAUGUGGUCAGGACUGACAUGCAGGUAGGACGAGGGAAUGGGAGCUGGUUUGGGUCUGUAAAGGGACAUCCUAAUGCAAAGGCAGCUUCAUGACCGACAGUCCCAGGAGAACCCACCUGGUCUUUGGCAGGGCUGGGCCUCUCUAUCAACACCUGUUUCUGCCAGGACUGGGAAAGGUGCAAGGAGGAAGCGGGCAUCCAAAUGGGCGCCAUGGAACCUGGAUGGUGGACAGACGUGGUGGCCAGAUAUGAAGGGCUGAUUGCCAGGGUGUUUAGGAGCCACCCCCUGGCCCGAGGGUUGAGGGUGGACAAGGUGUGGGCAGCACCUUGGGACACACAAGGAAACCGGUAGCAUGGAGGGUGCAGAGAACACAGCCCUGCAUGCACUGGCCCCGGCUGGAGGCUGCAGAGCCGGGAAGCAGCCUGUAGGGCCUGCCAUGCGGGGAGGGCAGCAGCAGAGCCAGGUUCAGAUGGUGGGGUGCAGGCGGGGGAUCGUGUGGGUAUGGUGGGAUACGUACAGGUGGCACUCGGGGGCUCAGGCGGGGCUCAGGUAGGCAUCUGUGGGUCACAAUUCAUUGUCUUUUACCUUUGCUAGGCGAGUGAUGACAAGGAUGUGCCGCGGGGGUCCCCGGUGGGACCCUUGCUUUGGAAACUGAGGUUCAGAGUGGAGUUGAUCACUCCCUGCCUGUCGUGGGCCUGGGGUCAGGACUGGGGUUCAGAAUAACCAGGGCACAGAGCCCACAGGACCAGGCAGGGUGGACUCCUGGCCUUCUGUCCUUCUGGCUCACAUGCUAACUUGCGGGACUUCCUCUCUGUCCUUGAGCUGCCCUUCACUUGUGGUCAUGGGCCCGCUUGCCUCCAGCACACCCGCUCCAGUCUGGUCCAGACUGGAAAGUGGCAGGGAGGGCAUGAUGGCAGCACGGAGACCAUGGGAUCCCUGUACCAGGCUGUGAUGCCACUUGGGGCUCCCCGCACACAGUGGGCACUGGGCGAGGGGCAGCUGUGGCAGUGGGACCAUGGGACAGUGAAGCCGGCCUGCAGGGGAGGCUGUGCUGGCUCAGGUGUCGGUGAGGAUGGGAUGCGCUCCGCCCGGGUGGAGUGGGCUGGUGUGCAGGAUUCUGAAUUCAGGAGCCGGGGCGGGAUCAAUCAAGGG
ensembl:lincRNA